rnacentral:rRNA from 1 species
GAUGAACGCUGGCGGCGUGCCUAAUACAUGCAAGUCGAGCGAACAGACGAGGCGCUUGCUCCUCUGACGUUAGCGGCGGACGGGUGAGUAACACGUGUAUAACCUACCUAUAAGACUGGGAUAACUUCGGGAAACCGGAUCUAAUACCGGAUAAUAUAUUGCACCGCAUUGUUCAAUAGUGAAAGACGGUUUUGCUGUCACUUAUAGAUGGAUCCGCGCCGCAUUAGCUAGUUGGUAAGGUAACGGCUUACCAAGGCAACGAUGCGUAGCCGACCUGAGAGGGGGAUAGGCCACACUGGAACUGAGACACGGUCAAGACUCCUAAGGGAGGCAGCAGUAGGGAAGCUUCAGCAAUGGGCGAAAGACUGACGGAGCAACGCCGCGUGAGUGAUGAAGGUCUUCGGAUCGUAAAAAUCUGUUAUUAGGGAAGAACAAAUGUGUAAGUAACUAUGCACGGAUUGACGGUACCUAAUAAGAAAGCCACGGCUAACUACGUG